GAAGAACGAUGGAGGCGUGCUUAACACAUGCAAGUCGAACGGAAAGGCCCUGCUUUUGUGGGGUGCUCGAGUGGCGAACGGGUGAGUAACACGUGAGUAACCUGCCCUUGACUUUGGGAUAACUUCAGGAAACUGGGGCUAAUACCGGAUAGGAGCUCCUGCUGCAUGGUGGGGGUUGGAAAGUUUCGGCGGUUGGGGAUGGACUCGCGGCUUAUCAGCUUGUUGGUGGGGUAGUGGCUUACCAAGGCUUUGACGGGUAGCCGGCCUGAGAGGGUGACCGGCCACAUUGGGACUGAGAUACGGCCCAGACUCCUACGGGAGGCAGCAGUGGGGAAUAUUGCACAAUGGGCGGAAGCCUGAUGCAGCAACGCCGCGUGCGGGAUGACGGCCUUCGGGUUGUAAACCGCUUUCGCCUGUGACGAAGCGUGAGUGACGGUAAUGGGUAAAGAAGCACCGGCUAACUACGUG
rnacentral:rRNA from 1 species